CGUGUGCUCUUCCGAUCAGUCGAUAGUGGAGGUCGUGACUCAGGUACGGUUGUUACAAUGUCCCAGACCAGCCUGCUGCGUGGGAGCGUGGGGACUUGCCUCGCCGGCAUCCCCUCUUCGCGGUUCCGCAGGGAGGCGUUACUUGAUUUGGAGUUUUGGUGCGAAGGGGAGGCUCUGGUGUUGGCUCUUCCUGCUUUAAUGACCCGCACAGUCACGGACCAGAGAUGGUCUGGGUUGGGGGUUUCCGGGGAAACUCGAGUCGGAACUCUAGUGUAGUCAGCUGACCAGUACCUUGCCUCUGGUUCCUAGGGUCCCCAGCUGGACCCAGUGAGCUGUGGUGUUGCUCCAGGUUUCCAAGAAUUAGCAGAGCACAGAGCCAUCGAGCUCGUCGGCAUUUCCCUUUCCUCAGACGCACGGUCGCAGGUCCUCAGGGAGGGAUGUCCUCCUCAGGGGCCCUGGGUCUGGGCUGUGAGGGCUGGUGAUCAGCAGUAAUGGGGACAGUGGAGACCCUGGGGCCACACCACCUGAGUUCGAAUUGUGCCUGUACCAGGCAAGGAACAGCAGCUCCUCUGCCCGGUGUCCCUGUCUAGAAAGUGGA